rnacentral:rRNA from 1 species
GAUGAACGCUGGCGGCGUGCUUAACACAUGCAAGUCGAACGAAGCACUUUAACCUGAUUCUUCGGAUGAAGGUUUUUGUGACUGAGUGGCGGACGGGUGAGUAACGCGUGGGUAACCUGCCUCAUACAGGGGGAUAACAGUUAGAAAUGACUGCUAAUACCGCAUAAGACCACAGAGCCGCAUGGCUCGGUGGGAAAAACUCCGGUGGUAUGAGAUGGACCCGCGUCUGAUUAGGUAGUUGGUGGGGUAACGGCCUACCAAGCCAACGAUCAGUAGCCGACCUGAGAGGGUGACCGGCCACAUUGGGACUGAGACACGGCCCAAACCCCUACGGGAGGCAGCAGUGGGGAAUAUUGCACAAUGGGGGAAACCCUGAUGCAGCGACGCCGCGUGAGCGAAGAAGUAUUUCGGUAUGUAAAGCUCUAUCAGCAGGGAAGAAAAUGACGGUACCUGACUAAGAAGCACCGGCGAAAUACG